GAAGCUUCCUGUCGCGUGUAUGUGGUUGCUGUCUGGUCAGUGCCAUCCACCGAAAUCUGUAGACAUCUUGCGAGCUUCCUGGCUGGCUGCUCCUCUGCCCAGUGUAUGCUCCUCUGCCCAGUGUAGGGCGCCAAGGCUGUGCAGCCCUCCUGGAAACCGAUGGAAGCUCCGUGGAUCUACACAUUAAUGCCUCUGCAGCAGCUGGAGCCCCCUACUGUCUUCAACUCCUUGGUGGGCGCCCACUGUCGAUGGAGAGGAUGCUUGGAAAUAACAGCUUGGGUGCACAAUGGCGGGAAGAGCUGUCUCCAUCCUUCUGGACUGAUGGACCAUUGUGCUCCUGAGUGAGGAUUGUCCCCUGGCAUUGGAGCUCUGUGUCCACAAGAAUAAAUGUGGUUUCUCAGAUUGUAUCUGCACGUGUGGAGGUGA